rnacentral:rRNA from 1 species
CCUACGGGAGGCAGCAGUGGGGGAUAUUGCACAAUGGGGGGAACCCUGAUGCAGCGACGCCGCGUGGGUGAAGGAGCGUUUCGGCGCGUAAAGCCCUAUCGGCAGGGAAGAAGGAGGACGGUACCUGACUAAGAAGCACCGGCUAACUACGUGCCAGCAGCCGCGGUAAUACGUAGGGAGCGAGCGUUAUCCGGAAUUAUUGGGUGUAAAGGGUGCGUAGGCGGGAAAACAAGUUAGUUGUGAAAUCCCUCGGCUUAACUGAGGAACUGCAACUAAAACUAUUUGUCUUGAGUGCAGGAGAGGUAAGUGGAAUGCCUAGUGUAGCGGUGAAAUGCGUAGAUAUUAGGAGGAACACCAGUGGCGAAGGCGACUUACUGGACUGUAACUGACGUUGAGGCACGAAAGUGUGGGGAGCAAACAGGAUUAGAUACCCCAGUAGUC